rnacentral:rRNA from 1 species
UGGGGAAUUUUGGACAAUGGGCGCAAGCCUGAUCCAGCCAUGCCGCGUGCGGGAAGAAGGCCUUCGGGUUGUAAACCGCUUUUGUCAGGGAAGAAAUCUUCUGAGUUAAUACCUCGGGAGGAUGACGGUACCUGAAGAAUAAGCACCGGCUAACUACGUGCCGCGAGCCGCGGUAAUACGUAGGGUGCAAGCGUUAAUCGGAAUUACUGGGCGUAAAGCGUGCGCAGGCGGUUUUGUAAGACAGAGGUGAAAUCCCCGGGCUCAACCUGGGAACUGCCUUUGUGACUGCAAGGCUUGAGUGCGGCAGAGGGGGAUGGAAUUCCGCGUGUAGCAGUGAAAUGCGUAGAUAUGCGAGGAACACCGAUGGCGAAGGCAAUCCCCUGGGCCUGCACUGACGCUCAUGCACGAAAGCGUGGGGAGCAAACAGGAUUAGAUACCCUGGUAGUCCACGCCCUAAAACGAUGUCAACUGGUUGUUGGGAAGGUUCCUUCUCAGUAACGUAGCUAACGCGAUAUGUGCACCCUGGGGAGUACGGCCGCAAGGUUGAAACUCAAAUGAAUUGACGGGG